AGAGUUUGAUCAUGGCUCAGGAUGAACGCUGGCGGCGUGCUUAACACAUGCAAGUCGAGCGAUGAAGUUUCCUUUCGGGAAACGGAUUAGCGGCGGACGGGUGAGUAACACGUGGGUAACCUGCCUCAUAGAGGGGAAUAGCCUCCCGAAAGGGAGAUUAAUGCCGCAUAAUAUUACAGUUUCGCAUGAAACAGUAAUUAAAGGAGCAAUCCGCUAUGAGAUGGACCCGCGGCGCAUUAGCUAGUUGGUGAGGUAACGGCUCACCAAGGCGACGAUGCGUAGCCGACCUGAGAGGGUGAUCGGCCACAUUGGGACUGAGACACGGCCCAGACUCCUACGGGAGGCAGCAGUGGGGAAUAUUGCACAAUGGGGGAAACCCUGAUGCAGCAACGCCGCGUGAGUGAUGACGGUCUUCGGAUUGUAAAGCUCUGUCUUUGGGGACGAUAAUGACGGUACCCAAGGAGGAAGCCACGGCUAACUACGUGCCAGCAGCCGCGGUAAUACGUAGGUGGCGAGCGUUGUCCGGAUUUACUGGGCGUAAAGGGAGCGUAGGCGGAUUCUUAAGUGGGAUGUGAAAUACCCGGGCUUAACCUGGGUGCUGCAUUCCAAACUGGGAAUCUAGAGUGCAGGAGGGGAGAGUGGAAUUCCUAGUGUAGCGGUGAAAUGCGUAGAGAUUAGGAAGAACACCAGUGGCGAAGGCGACUCUCUGGACUGUAACUGACGCUGAGGCUCGAAAGCGUGGGGAGCAAACAGGAUUAGAUACCCUGGUAGUCCACGCCGUAAACGAUGGAUACUAGGUGUGGGAGGUAUCAACUCCUUCCGUGCCGCCGCUAACGCAUUAAGUAUCUCGCCUGGGGAGUACGGUCGCAAGAUUAAAACUCAAAGGAAUUGACGG
rnacentral:rRNA from 1 species